UACGUAGGUGGCAAGCGUUGUCCGGAUUUACUGGGCGUAAAGGGCGUGCAGGCGGUUUGUUAAGUGCAGGGUGAAAGCUCCCGGCUCAACUGGGAGAGGUCCUUGCAUACUGGCAAACUCGAGGGAGGCAGAGGAGAGUGGAAUUCCUGGUGUAGCGGUGAAAUGCGCAGAUAUCAAGAAGAACACCAAUGGCGAAGGCAGCUCUCUGGGACGGUACUGACGCUGAGACGCGAAAGCGUGGGGAGCGAACAGG
rnacentral:rRNA from 1 species